UCCAGACUCCUACGGGAGGCAGCAGUGAGGAAUAUUGGUCAAUGGGCGCGAGCCUGAACCAGCCAAGUCGCGUGAGGGAUGACGGCCCUACGGGUUGUAAACCUCUUUUGUCGGGGAGCAAAGAGAGUCACGUGUGGCUCAUUGAGAGUACCCGAAGAAAAAGCAUCGGCUAACUCCGUGCCAGCAGCCGCGGUAAUACGGAGGAUGCGAGCGUUAUCCGGAUUUAUUGGGUUUAAAGGGUGCGCAGGCGGAGGUGCAAGUCAGUGGUCAAAUGGCGGGGCUCAACCUCUUCGAGCCGUUGAAACUGGUGUUCUUGAGUGAGCGAGAAGUAUGCGGAAUGCGUGGUGUAGCGGUGAAAUGCAUAGAUAUCACGCAGAACUCCGAUUGCGAAGGCAGCAUACCGGCGCCCGACUGACGCUGAGGCACGAAAGCGUGGGUAUCGAACAGGAUUAGAUACCCCUGUACU
rnacentral:rRNA from 1 species